UGCUCGCUCCCCCUCUCUAAUCCUUGCUAUCUGGGUGAGAGUGCUUUCCGAAUGCAGUGCACCUGGGCAAGGGUUUCGAGAGGGAGAGUA
rnacentral:pre_miRNA from 1 species